rnacentral:lncRNA from 10 species
GAAGAGGAACUACUUUGAGGACACUAGGAGAAGGCAGCUGUCUCCCAGCCGAGCAGAGGCCUCAGGAGAAACCAACUUUGUUGACAACCUUGAUCUUGGACUCCUAACUUCCAGGGCUGUGGGAAAUCAAUUUCUACUUGAGCCACCCCGUCAGUGAUGUUUUGUUAUGGCAGCCCUAACAAACGAAGACAUUAACCACGCAUCUCUGCCUCUCAGAAGAGCCUCAUAUCCCAGGCUGUGGCAUCUGGAUUUUCUUCUGCAGAUUGAAAGAAGCAGCUGCUUGGGGAGUGGAGGUCCAAGGCUUUUCAGAUUGCUGGUGUGGUACCUAGCUAUGGAAACUACUGAGCAGUCAGGUUCACAGAUGGUCUCACCACCGACAACACCAGGACCCCUUUAGGAUGGGUGUUCAAGGCCCUCCAGGAGCACCUCUUGCUAAACCUCUGCUGCCUCAUGCCUAAAUACCUCUCUGCCUCCCUCACAGGCAAAAGAGAUCCAGACGAUAGAGUAACAUCAAAGGUUCUGUGAACUGCAGGUGAACAGACGAUCAUCUUCACCUACGGGGCUCAUCGCCGUUUCAUUCCUGUGCUUCUCGGGAGGAAAGUUACCGCGGAGCAGCCCCUCAGCAGAGGAAUCCGUGGUGGAAACCCAAGCGUCCUGGCUGCAGUCUCCUGGGAACUGGAGUGUGAAUGCUUUCCUUCUGACGGCAGACAGCUGAGAACCUGCAGGGUUAAAAGUGCACAGUCCGGGAAGGUUCUGUUCCCAGGACAGCGCUAUCGAGUCCACUGGGCGCUCCACGCGGUCUACCUAAAGGGAACAGCCUGCGGCGUCGGCACCCUAUUCAUCUCUAAGGGUGGGGAGAUGGAAAAAUACCGUGCUGCUUAGCAUUGAUGAAGCGCUUGCUUCAGGGAAACUGACUAGAAUCUAUUUAGUCUCCAGAGCAUUUCUGAGAGGCAAGCAGGCCUCAGGGCACUGCAGAGGGACCACAUCUUUUUCUAGAAAGCCUGGGAGAGAGCAGAAUGAGGCCAAGCCUGAGGGCUUCUGGCUCCUUCUCUUCCUUGUGUAAUGCCCUUUCUGACUGGUGUGAGUGUCAGGGCUCCGUGAAUAACCUACUAUGUGUCUCUGGGUGUGAAGUUUGGGCUAUGGGAUGUGUCUGCACAAUAUCCUAGAGAAGGAAACAUUUUGUAUCUGUCAAAAACCUACUAGGGAUGUCAAAAUAUGAAACAAUAUUUGUAAAUAUGAAAUUCUGGGGAAAACGUGGCAAAACUCCUCAAGAUUGACAAUAAGAAACAAAGAGAAGUGGUGAGCUUCCUCCUACAGAAAGGCCCCUGGCUCCUGCAUUCCAAGAGCUGGUCCCUGCCCCAGAAGGAGGCCACAGGGCCUGUGUGGAGGGGUCUCCACAGUUAGGGAAGGAUGAAAGGUCACCCUCCCCAGCACAGCAGAUCCUGCCACCUUGUUCCCACCUGCCCUUCUGCCUUGUCUGCCAGCACAUCUUCUUUUAAGCCCGGCUUUCUCCCCUUUACUCUCUGGCCUCCAUGCUGCUUCUCCUUCCUCUACUCCCCACCUUCCAUGACCACCUGCUGUAAUUUUAAUCUUUCUAUAGUGUCCAGUCCAACAGCACCUUCUCUGUGAAGCUUCUCCAAUUUUCCCAGCUGGACAGAACUUCUGUAUAUUCAUAACCCUUCCUAUGCAUUUGUGCCUUAUUAUGUUUGUGACUGUCUUCUCUUCUAUAAGAGAUUCAACUCUUAAAGGGCAAGAGCCAUGUUUUGUUUAUCGUUGCAACUCCUAAAGUGCCUAGCAUGCUGCCUUUUAUUUAGUAAGGCCCUCAAAAAGCUUUGGAUGAAUUAAAUGGAAUCAUCCAAAUUUUCCCUGCAUUCAAUUCGAUUUCUUUUUCAAAAAAAGGUCUUCAACCUGGAAUUUCUCACUGAGUGAGAUGCUUUCAUCUGCAGUGGCAGGCAAGGUUUCAGAGGGAAAGCAUUUUUAUCUCUUGCAUGUGGCUUUCUCAAAACCUUUCCCUUGUGAGAAUAUAUAGCAAUGUUCUUUCCUUCUUGUCAUCUCAGUGGAUUAUCCAGUUCUCCUCUGUCACAAACACAUUUGGAUUUUACCAUCACUCUUUCACCAGACAGGAGCUUUCAAGAAAAUGAGGCCUCAAAGGUAGAAGAGCCUCUUCCAGCAGAGUCCCUCUGUCCUGUUCCAUUUAGGAGCUGGAGGGCCUGUUAGGUGAUGUGCCUUGCUACCAGUGGUGUCAUCUGCAUGGCUGCCCUUCCUCAAUCAAAGAAGGGCAUUCACAGGUCAGAAUCUGUAGAGAGCAGUGGCCUGGGAUGCCUUAUGUAUGGAUGGGAAACAGCUUGUAGAUUUGUGGCUGCAUGAAGCAAAGAUGCAACUCAGUCUCAUUGUGUUUGAAUACAUGUCAGUGAGCUAGUUUUGCAAAACCCAUGAGGCUGUGGUGAUGAAGUCAUGUAUCAAUGAGACUCGCCAGUGGACACUGCUUGGCUCUUCCUGUCUGACUCUUGCAGCUGCCAAGCAUGUUUUCCACAUCACUAAACAAGACCACCCCUCCCUUGGAGCUGGAGUCAAGGAGAGGAAAUACUAUCCACCAGAAAAAAAUCACAACCACACCGUCCAACUAUGAGCAUUAGUCUUGGAGCUGCAUUUCUGAAAAAAGUUCUCUGCCCUCAGCGAAAUUUUUAGAGGGGCUUGUGGGAGAAAAUAGGGGGAGAUGCCAAAAUGCAGAUGAUGGUGACAGUUGUACGCAGAGGAUUCAUCCCUUUCCCCCUACCCAAAAGUGGAUGCUGGGAGAAGAUACCCCCGAGUCACUCAGUGCUAGUUACUGUGCCAUUCUUACUUGGGGUGUGUUGGGGUGUGGGGGGAUGGCUACCACUCCCAGGGCUCCAGGAGCUGUGGUUCAGGUGAGCAACUGUGGUUCAGGGCAAAUCAGAUGCUCCUUCUGAAUGGCAUGGAGACCCAUGGUCAGGGCAAGGCAUAGAGAUCCACCAUCAGGGCGUUUGCUUCGUCUUGCCCCAUUUCAUUGUAAAUUAUUCAAAGAUAAAAGGGACUGUGCCUUUAAAAUUUAUUUUUGUUAAAGUAAUCUACAUAUAAUGUUUAAAAAGGCUCUUGUUCACAUUAUCCCCUCUAUAUUCCUCUCCACACUCCCAUGUAGCUAGAUCAGAAAUUUUAUUAGAUCAAUACUCAAUGUUGCAUUCUGAUAACUCUAAUAUUGUUCACAGCUCAACCAAGUUAGGGUAUUAUAAGUACAUUUUCUCUCCUUUAUAGUUGCUUGCAUUUAGUGGAGUUAACAAUGUUCUCCUUUUCUUAUUUACAUAGUUCUCUAUAUGUCUAUCACUGAUUCAUCCUGAAAAUCCCCUUCAGAACCAUAAACACCCUCUUAACACAUGUGGGCAACUCAGUCUGUCCCAUUUUCCUGAGAGGUGGCCACCCCUCGGUGCUGGCUAUUCUCAGGGCCAGCUGGGCAGAUGUCCUGCAGGGUGGUCCUUCACCAUCACCCAGGCAAGACUCUUUGCUUCUUGCCCGUGCAGGAGCCCCUGUGUCUGGGAUUUCCUGUGUCCCAUUAUCUGGGAUUCUUCCCUUUCUUUGGUGGCUGCAUCUUCUAGUCAUGUCCUAGGAAAUGGUGUGGAAGAGGUAAUUUGAACCUUGUGUAUCUGAAAUGGUCUUUAUUCCACCUGCACAUUUAAUUGAGGGUUAGGCUAGGUAUAGAAUUAUUUUCCCUCAACAUUUCAAUUUGAAAAUACUCCACUGUUUUUCGUAGCAUCCUGUGUGGCUUUGGGGAUUCAAGUGCCCUUUUGGUGAACAAUUGUUCAUAAUCAUUGAUGUGCAGUAUAUUUCUCUUGCUUUAUCUCCAAUGUUUUGAAGUUUCAUGAGAUUGCCUUGAUGUGGUUUACAUUUUUUGUUUGGGGUUCUUAGUGGGCUCUUUGAAUUUGGAAUCUUGUGGCCUUUCAUUCUGAGAAACUAAAAAAUGUAUAUAUAUCAUUCUUCCAUAAUUUAUCCCCUCUAUUUUUUCAGUUCUUUCUUUCUGGAACUUGUAGUAUUAGUCUGGGUCCUCCAGGAAGGAGAUGCCAGGACAGGAUGAAACAUGAGAGGAUUUUGUUAAGGGAGAUGGUGGUGAGAGAGUGUGGGGAGGAAUCUAAGGGAGGCUGGGGGCUGGGGCAGCAAGUCUGACCCCUGCGAAAGAGAGAGGGAGGGAGGGUUGGAGGGUGCACCUCGUAGGGGACAGCUGUCACGGAGCUGAAGCCCCAUCAGAGAGCCUACCUCUUCCAAGAACUGGCCUGCCUUGGUGCUCUGCCUCACUCAGUGACUAGGAGCAGCCCACAGACUGUGUGCUUGGAGCAGAGGCUGUGGAGGGCCUCAGCAGCUGCAGCUGCAAGUUGGCCAGGUACAUUCUCAUGGCUGCCACCUCCUAUCAUCCUGUGAUUGCUGACUCUCCUGCAUGGAUUCUAUCCUUUCCUUAUCUUUUCUCUCCUAUUAUUGUUCCUUAACAAAAACUAUUGGGAGAUUUUCUUAGCUUUGUUUUCAGAUCAUUUUAUCUGCUCUAAUAUUUAAAUUUCCAAGUGCUCUUUCUUGUUCUUGGAGUCUUUUUUUCUAGCGUCUUGUUUGACAUCUAUAAUAUCGUCUUUUCUCUCUGAAGGUAGGUAAGGGUUUUAGACAUUUAUUUUGCCCCCUGCUAGGCCUCUACUUACUCCAGGUUUCCUUUCUCUGUUUGCCUUGACCUUUCUUUUUCAUGUUAAAGCCUUUCCUCAAAUGUCUGAUUACCCUUGGCUGCCCGUCAUUUAAGAAAGCGCCACUAGUCAGCUCAUCGGAAGCUGUGAGGGAGAGGGCUGCAUUUGGUCCUGCCAGGUGGAGGAACACUCAGGCAUCAGUACUAGGAGGUCUUUCCUCUCAGCCCAUUGGAUUUCCCUAGAGUCCUACACGGCUGGGAUGAGGCACCUGGGUGCUGAGUAGAGGAAGGGAGUCAUGGGUCAGUCACCCUGUAUGCAGAUUUUCACACAACCCCCUCUCUCCAGGACACGCCUCGCCCCCCACCCUAAGUAAUGCAGAACCCAAAUCCACACCCUUCCUGGGUUUCUCCAGAGUCAACCUCAAACCCUAGGCUGGGGAGUCUGUUUCCUAUAGGCACUUUCAACCAGUGAUCCUGUUUUCAGCCCCACACAUCAGCUCUUCUUUCAGAGGCACCUGGCCCCUCUGUUGUGUGAAUGGGAAUGUGCUGCCUUCCUCUAAAUCAGACAAGCACCUGGAAAGGCUUUUUGUUUAUCUGAAUGACUCCUGUUGGAAUAUUAGUCAUGAAUAGGAUAAUAUGUUUCAAAUGUUCCAAACUUCUUUAAGAGAAAGAGAAAACCGUCUGUUGACUCUGGUCUUCACUCAGGUCCAGCGGCGGGAUGCUCCAGGUCCAGUCUGAGGAGUAAAUGCUGGGCGUGUAACCUCAUCAGUGUUGGGAACCUGGUGAGGCUACACAGCACAGAGGGGCCGGACUGCAUCAGGGAAAGAGGAGUUGGGCUGUCUUCUCAUUGUCACACACAAUCCCACCAUGGAGGACUCAGGCUGUCUCAUGGCUACAGAGGUAGUGAAGCAGUUGCCAGGCGCCACAGCAGGAACGGAAUUUCUCCGUGAAGACAGUGCAGGUCCAAAAGGGCCCAGUUUUGAAGAUUGGGGGCAAGGAGUGGGGGAUGAAGCUGUCUGCUGGAUCACAAGAGUCAAAGACACGCCUUCAGCCCACACAGGUGGGGAGGCUCAGAAUGCCUGCCCCCUAGGGCCUCCACGCUGGACAUUGGGUCAGGGAAGCCCCCUUUCCUGAGUUGUUCUGUGGGACUCCAAAGGGCCUCCUGCCAAGCUCUCUGACAGUUCACAUCCCAUCUGAAGAGCCUCAUGCACCAGUCCAGGGCCUCUGAGAAGCAGAUGCCAAGAGGGGAUUAAAAAUGCCAAGAUUUUGUUGGAGGAGAUGCCCAGGUGAGGAAAGUCAGAGGGAGGCUGUCUGAGGAGUUUUCAGACCAGGACUCAGGGCAGACCCUGAGGGGAGGAGGGAGAGCAGGUUGGGAGGAUGCAUCCUAGACUGCCAUGGAGUCUAAGGAAGAUUCCACGGCCGUGCAAGAGUGCUCCAGCCAAAGGCACCCUUGGAGGAGCCCACCUCUCCCGGGGACUGCCUCCCUUCAUGUCCUCCUGUGCUCAGUCCCUUCAGAGUGCAGCCCCUUUGGCCUUGGACACUUCCUCUCCCUGCGUUUCGUUGGGCUGCAGGGCGUGUUCUCCUGGCCUCCACACCCAGGCCUGCUCAGGGGUAGGGUUGGGUGAACCUGAGGCUUGGGAAUAUCCCACUGGGGGGAUUGGGAGGCCUGCAAAGGUAGGUAGAGGGCCACGCAGUGAGGGGUGCAGAAGGGAGGGCCUGUGGACAGAGGGGGUGAACCCAAGGACGGCAAGCAGCAGCAGGGACAGGCGUGACCACAGGAGGCCACCUGUGAAGGGAGAAGGCCAGAUUUAGCAGGAGCGUGGACUCCCCGCCUGUUGCUCUUUCCCCCACCAUGUUGUAGCUCCUUAGUGUGGGUCUCCUCCCACCUCACUUCGCAUGGGAACCCUUCUGCAAGUGGCUUCACUUACACCUGUGUCUUGUUCUGUCUGGGCUGCUGUAACAAAAUAUCUGAGGCUGGGUAAUUUAUAAACCACAGAGAGUUAUGGAGGCUGGAAGUCCAAGACCAAGGCACAGGCAGGUUUGAUGUCUGCUGAGGCCUUGACCACUGCAUCACAUGGUGGAAGGCAGACGGGCAGAAAGAGGACAAACACUGUGUCCUCACAGCAGAAGAGAAUGAACCUCCUCCCUCGAGCCCUUUGAUAAGGGCCCUAACCCCAUCUGGAAGGGCUCUACCUGAUGACUUAAUCACCUCCUAAAGGCCCUGCCUCUUAAAACUAUCUCAUGGGGAUUAUGUUUCAAUAUAUAAAUUUUGUGAGACACAUUCAGACCAUAGCAACCUACUAUGUUCUUUUUCCUUAUCUGUAAUGACUGGUUAUGCUUAUAAAUGUUUGAAAGCAAAAGUGCCUUUUCCGUGAAAUUUUGCAUCUGUUUCCAUUUUAUCCCUUCUCUG